UCUUGUUUUGUUGCUUUCGUGUAUCAGUUGCCGCCACCAUGCCUUCAGUGCAUCGGGGAAACUUCCCCAAUCGUCAAACGCAAUUUUCCGCUCGGAGGCAGAAGAUAAUGCAACAGAAGAAGUCCCUUCCGAUUGCUUCAGUUGAGAAAAGACUGGUUGAAGAGGUUCGGAAGAACGAUGUGUUGAUUAUUGUUGGUGAAACUGGAAGUGGAAAGACUACUCAGAUUCCACAGUUUCUGCUUGAUGCUGGAUUGUGCCGCGAUGGAAGGGUUAUUGGGAUAACACAACCUAGACGUGUAGCUGCUGUCACUGUGGCAAAAAGAGUUGCUGAGGAGUGUGGUGUUGAGUUGGGUCAGAAGGUUGGGUAUUCUGUUAGAUUUGAUGACACUACUUCUGGCUCAACAAGGAUCAAGUACAUGACAGACGGUUUGCUUUUGAGGGAAGCAUUGUUGGAUCCAUAUCUUUCUAAGUAUUCUGUUAUAAUUGUUGACGAGGCACAUGAGAGGACUGUUCACACUGAUGUCUUGAUGGGUUUGCUAAAGAAGGUACAACUAGCCCGGUCAAGUUCUGUCAGUGAUGGUCAAGGCCUUAUUUUUGGAAAAAAGAAUUUCAAGAAAGUUAUGAUGUCAGAGAAAGAAAAUGAUCAGAGUGGCCGUUUUCAUAAGAUGCCCCGCCAUGAGAAGUAUGCACCAUUGAAGUUAAUCAUCAUGUCUGCAAGUCUUGAUGCUCGGGCUUUCUCUGAAUACUUUGGUGGUGCGAAAGCUGUUCACAUCCAAGGGAGACAGUUUCCUGUUGAUAUAUUUUAUACUCGCAUUGCAGAGACAGAUUAUUUGGAUGCUUCCUUGAUAACAAUAUUCCAGAUUCAUUUAGAGGAGGGUCCUGGUGAUAUACUAGUAUUUCUGACUGGGCAAGAAGAGAUUGAAUCUGUUGAAAGGCUUAUCAAUGAGAAACUCCCACAAUUACCUCAAGAAAAUCAGAAGCUUCUAAUUGUACCUAUAUUUGCCGCUCUUCCAUCUGAGCAGCAGAUGCGGGUCUUUGCACCAGCUCCAUCUGGGUUUCGCAAGGUGAUAUUGGCAACUAAUAUCGCUGAGACAUCAGUAACAAUUCCCGGAAUCAAAUAUGUAAUUGAUCCUGGAUUUGUUAAAGCACGUUCCUAUGACCCUGGAAAAGGCAUGGAAUCCUUGAUUAUAGUGCCUACAUCCAAGUCCCAGGCUCUGCAAAGAAGUGGGCGUGCAGGGCGUGAAGGACCUGGAAAAUGCUUCCGUCUAUAUCCUGAAAAAGAAUUUGACAAACUUGAGGACUCAACAAUGCCAGAGAUUAAGCGGUGCAACCUUUCUAAUGUUAUUUUGCAGCUUAAGGCUCUGGGUGUCGAUGACAUACUAGGGUUUGAUUUUAUUGAGAAACCUUCAAGGGCAGCUAUUACAAAAUCAUUGGAGGAGCUAUUUUUGUUGGGUGCCCUAACAGAUGAAUGUCUACUAUCUGAUCCUGUAGGACAUCAAAUGGCUCGACUGCCCUUGGAUCCCAUUUAUUCCAAAGCGCUUAUUUUAGCUAGUGAGUUUAACUGCUUGGAGGAGAUGUUGAUAACUGUAGCUCUGCUGUCUGUGGAAUCCAUAUUUUAUACUCCUCGUGACAAGUUAGAAGAGGCAAGAACUGCAACUAAAUGCUUCUCAAGUCCAGAGGGAGACCACAUCACUUUGAUUAAUGUGUAUCGAGCAUCUAAUGAUUUCUUGGAGAAGAGAUCAAUGGAGAUGGGUAUAGCAAAGACGGAAAAGGUUUUUAGAAAAUGGUGCAAAGAAAAUUAUAUUAAUAGCCGGUCUCUUAGACAUGCUCGUGACAUUCACAAGCAGAUUAAGGGACAUGUUGAACAAAUGGGUCUUAAUCUUUCUUCUUGUGGAGAUGAUAUGCUUCAAUUCCGCAGAUGCCUAGCUGCUUCAUUUUUCCUCAAUGCAGCUGUAAAGCAGCCAGAGGGGACAUACAGGGUCUCUUAUUGCUUAGUUGUAUGGCAGGGCUUUGGCAAGUGGUCAGGUGGUGCAGAUCCACCCUUCUUCUGUAUUAUUCCGGAAAAAACCAGAGUGUGUGAUAUUCAACGAAUUGGUCCAAACUAAUAACAAGUAUGUCCGAAAUUUAACAAGAGUUGAUUACCUAUGGUUAACCGAGUUGGCUCCCCAAUAUUAUGCCAUGCAGAAUUAAAUUCUUGGUGGUUCCACUAAACAGGUUACAUUAUUGUCGGUUGGAACAGAUCCAUAGAAGCUCCUGAUCUUGGCCCCCACACUUGAUGGAUCUUUUCAUAAUGACAGGUUUUAAGAUUUAAGGGGAUUGUCUUUGCCAUUGCUUGGUAUGUGGAGAUGUCAAUCAUUCCUCUAACGGCAAGCACCUCUUGCUGGGUUGUUGUCAAGUUAUUUUCUCCUGGGCCGCAAUGGCCACUAAGAUCGAGGAGCAAGUAUGUCAACGUAGAGUGCACCUUACAGUGACCUCAUUGUUGUGGUGGCUCCGGCAUUGAAAUUGUGUAUAGACUAUUUUAUUUUAUUCAUGUUCAUUUCUGCAUCAUUUUAAAUUGCUCAAUUUAAACUUGUACAAUAUGAAUUGUAUGAUUAGCUGCCAAGUUCUUUGAAACCACUUAUUUAUAUACACUGCACUUCAAUUUCUAGA